rnacentral:lncRNA from 1 species
AAUAGAAGAGAGUUUCAUGUUACCACAGUAAAAGAUAUAUAAAUGUGCAAACAAGUACUACAACAUGUACAGUACUCACAAUAUACAUGCCAAUUAAGAACUACUCAGAAAUCAUACAACUGCAAGAGCAUCAAGUAUUACCAUCUUCCUUCAACUUCAGCUCAGCACUUAUGGCUCCAAACAUUAGAUGUUGACUCUGCAAACAAUAAUUUGAAUAACUGAUAAGGAACCACCACCACCAUUCCAUUCAGCUCUAUAUCUAAGACUACUUUUAUAAGUCAAUUCGACAUCUAAGACUCGUUCGAUAUGAUUAUUUUCGUCAAUCAUAUACUUUUUCUAGCUCAUUUCUCUCUGUUUCCCCCUAAAAAAAAAUACUAGUAUAAUUGUCAGCAGUCAUACAGAUUAGCUGCACGCUGAACUGCACCAUUCCCAGCACAAACAACAAGGCGACACAUAGAUGACAACUGCAAAAUGAGAUACAAAAUGGUGUUUUUAUUGAUUUCAAAGAAAAAUAAAUGUUGCUAUGCUAGCCAGAUAAUCCUAUUUGUUUCUAAGGCCUACUUUACGACCAAAUGCAAGUCCUGCAAUUAACAAUAUUUCACUUUGAGAGGUCCUACAUUAGGGAAGAGUCACUUGAAGUUUGCAAUUUACUUUAAAGGGUGCAUGAGUGCACUAGUUAAAAAUUGUUUCACUGUGUGACAUAGGAGCAUGUCAAGGAUUGGUAUGCUACUUUUUACAACUUUAUCGGAGAUGAAAUGAGACUCAACAAUCUUAUGAAUGUGUAGAUCUUGAUCAACAUUUUGUAGUGGGAUACAUAUUUAACUCAUUAACUUAGCCAAGAAAAGGAAAGAAACUGCAGAAAUCCAGAACAGAAGUUGAAAAGCAGAAAUGCUGCACCAAACCACUCUCUACAUCCCUCAGUCCACUAAAACAAGAACCAUCUAAGCAACUAAUGGAACACGAAAAAUAAAAAUAAAAAAAAUAACAAAUAGAGCUCUUCGAAAAUGGACCAAUAAUCAACCAAGGGAUGCCAGACGUGUGCGACUGGUUGCCAAUUCUCUAAUCACUAUACAACUCAAGCAGCAGAAGAGACAAAGAGAUUCCAGUCGUGCACUUUGAAACUAGAGACUGCAUGUUUAAAAACUUCAGCCAUUGGCAUAACUCCAGACUGUGCAGCAGGUACAGCCAUGCCUGCCCCGACUGCGGUAGCACUCUCACUCCUGGGGCUACAAUCGCAAAGGUAAACAAGAAAAUGUUAAACAGCCAGUUAAUUUGACUUUACAGCUUUAGGAACAGCAGGAGGAAACCGAGUUAUCGUCCAAACGUACUUAAUUACUAGAGGCUCAUACGCAGUUAUCAGAACAUCUGUCCCAACUCCCUUGAGGCGAAUGUUUGCCAGGUAAACCUGAAUGGGACAUGAUCAGAUCUCAUCUUACACUUAAAACUGCAUCGGGGGAAGGGGCAGCGGGUGGAAGGGAAUUUACAAACUUACCUUAACCAAGUUCUGUGCUUCCCUACCUUGUCUUCCCUUAGAAACAGCCUAUGAAUUGAAUAAGGUUGAUCAGGAUUAAGCUUGAUAACAUGAAAUGAUAAAUUUUACCAACUAAUAAAAGAAACUUAUGAAAUUUCAUAACUAGUUGAAAGUUUGGGUGUUGGGAGAUACAAUAAUCUUCACAUCUACUUCCGUUUUUACAGAAAAUAAUUUCAGGCAAAUGUAAAUGAAGAAGGAAGAUACUUUAGCUUUACUAAAAUAUCUACCCAUUAAGGGGAGAGAACUAAAUCCUCUUCUAAUAACGUGCAGUUCAGAACAUUGUCAUAUAACAUGAUAGAGGAACAUCAUUACUAGGUUCCUUAUCCGACAAAAACGUCAUCUGCAUUUUGGCCAGGUCACUCAAUGAAUGUAUUAUAUGUAAAAAUUAAAGAGAAGAUAGCCAAAAUGUGGAGUUGAAAGGAGACCAAGCUCAUCUAUCAGUUAUAUUCAAAGCAAAUUCAAGUCAUACAUGAGUCCUAAUUUUCAGAAUACUACACAAUGGAUCUACCAACUUUGUCAAGAAAGUUACAAAUCCUAAAACUCGUUUCAUACAGGAGCACAAAGUACGGAAUUUACUGUAAAGAGAAUGGAGGUUCUUUUUUUUGGUUUUUUUGAUAACGUGGUGUAAGAGAAUGAAAGUUCUUAGGAUUUAACCUAGCGAUGCCAAUUGAAGUUGAGAUCAUACAUAAAUGCUGAGCACUUCUAAAAUAAGAGUAACAUACCAUUUGUCCAACAGCGGUGGUGAUGACAGCAGGCAUGUUUCUAUAGCACAAUCCAGGGACCUCAAACACAGCUGACUGCUCAGUGAUCUGUAGAUAUAAACAGAAAAAAUCAACAAGAUAAAAUGUGAGAUGUUAUGUAACAUGACAACUUAUAAAAUAUUUGGACUUAACUAGUUAUCAAAGUGCAAGCUUCAGAGAAAUGCACAAGUUCAAUAUCUCACAUUUCAUGUGACAAAAUUAUGAUUUAAAUACAAGACCAAUUAUUUAAAUACAUUGAAGAAAAACUCAUCGGAAAGUUGUCGGAGUAUUGAAUUAUGUUAACCCAGACCAAAAAGAUAAUACCUAGAUAAUGACAUUAAGCACCGGGAAAGAUGCAUUAUUCACUUGGGAUGUAUGAAAAUGAGAAAGAUGAUGUUAGAGAUCUACAGACCAGAGAACCACAUAGAGCAAUUUAGGAGGAAGCAAUGCCCAACAAAAAAUGUCUGGUUGCAAUUUGUUCUUUUCUUUCCCAAGGAAGAUAUGGCCUUUUUCGUGAGUAGCUUUAUUCCUGCUUUUGCUAGGACCAGUUAAUGGGAAUAAAGAAGAUAAAUUCCAUUUUACUCUUCCCUGCUUACUGUUUCAAAAGAAAAAAGAUAUAAACUUUGCCCUUUGUGGAUCAGUGUUUAAACGGAUUACCAAACUUCCUGAGUAGUGCAUGAGAAUUCACACAUAAAACUCAAGAAACACAGAGUAGCUGGAUUUUGAAACAAGAACAAGUGUCACAAUAGUUUUUAUUACCAAACAACACAUACAAAUUAUGUUCCACCUGGCUCGUUCAGUUCUGCACUGCCUCCUUGUUUCAUUUAAAAUUAUAUUUAUUUUUGGGUAAAACCCUUGGGAAAAUUAUUUGUUCAGUCAGUUAAUCAGCCCCGCCUCAGUCCAAAAGUAAGUUGGUUGGAUAUAUAAAUUCUUUGUAUCCGUUAUGCUCAAUUUUAAAUUAUUUGAGAGAUCCAAAAAAGAAAUGGGGGAAAAGGUAACAAAUAAGUAACGACAAUCAACAACAACAACAGACCCAGUGUAUUCCCACAAAGUGGGGUCUGGGCGGUAAGAUGUACGCCGUCCAUACCGCUACCUCCGAAGAAGUAUAGAGGCUGUUUCCGAUAAACCCUCGGCUCAAGAUAAAGAACAGUAGUCAUUGGGAUGUGUUCAUAAAAGCAUAUAAAUUUUAAUCAAACGGAAAUGAAGAGGACAAAAAUUACAUUAUAGCGAAACAAUUGAUCUUCUCUGAAGAAAGGAGAAGAGCUUACUGUAGUUCCCUCAGCUUCUUGUUCAUUGGCAAGGUCUUGAAGAAACCAGGUUGCACUACCACUGUCUGCUACAUCCAUCUUCAGAUCCAGAAGCUCAAUUAUCAAACUCUCAUCACGCGCAGGGUCCACAAACACCUCCUGCAAUCGAACAAUCAAAUUUGCACAGAAAAUUAGAAAGGAAUAAAGAAAAGAUUGAGACACAAUCUAAAAUAACAAAAAGAUAUCCAAUAUAUCUUCCAAGAUUAAACUUUUAUAAACAACAUAUGCAAGUGUGAUUUUCUUAAUUCAAUCAAAAAGUAAACAAGAACAAAGGCAACAAACCUCGUAUAUAUAACUUAAACAAACAAAACAAAACAAAUCUGAAAAAAAAAACAUUUAGAAGAACAAUGGAUGAAACACAAUCAACAACAACAUACCAAGUGUAGUCCCACAAAGUCGGAUCCUUGAGAGGAUACAGAGUACGCAGACCUUAUCCCUGCCCUUAGAGGUAGAAAGAAUGUUACCGGUAGACCCUCUUCAACUCAAGGAAAAAUAAUCCAGGAAAAGAAGUAACUAAAGUACAAGAAUCAAUGGAUAAUAACAGAAAACAAUUCAUCGUAACAAAAUAAAAACUACAGCAGAACAAUACAUAAUCGAGGUACAAGGAACAACAGAGAAUGACAAGAAACUACCGGAGCUAUACUAUGACUACUAAACACAAUCAAAAAUAAAAUAAUCCCAGAAAUUUCAUUCAAGAUUGAAAAUUUACAAAGGAAAUUGCAAAUUGGAUUGCCUCUAAUUCAACCAAAAGAAGUUCCAAAAAAAAUAAGAAAACAACAAAAACAACAACAACAAACCUGAUGAUCAGGAACUUGACGCACAUUACUGACAUCCUGCAAAACGCAUGAAAUUCAAGUACGCAUUAAUAGUUAAUACUUUCACAAAAUUAAUCAAGAAAUAAAUUAAAAAAAAUAAAAAAAAUUGGGGACAAAAGUUAAAUAAAAAAAAUUGGAAAAGAGUUGAAGAAAACCUGGAAACGAAUAGGGAAAAUAGUGGAAAUAGCGCCACCAAAGAGAGGACGGUAAGCAGUAGAAUCAACAGCCAUAUUGAAUAUCCUCCUAACUUCUCUUCUCUUCACAACAAAAACUUUGCACUGUUUAUUUACUGGGAAUAAUAUGUAUGAUGUUGGUAGAAACAAGUGAAGAAAUCCAGAAUGGGAAUAUAGAUAGAUAGUACUAAAGAAUUCUUAAUUGUGCUUGCUUUCAAAGCCAACUUCAAAAUUUCCUUUAAAAGAAAAAGAAAAAGAAAAAGAAAAUAUAUAUAUAUAUAUAUAGUGCGUAACACUACGAAUACAAAAAAGGAGUAACUAAAGUAAAUAUAUCAGAGCCAGGUUUCGAUCCUGGGACCUGUGGGUUAUGGGCCCACCACGCUUCCGCUGCGCCACUCUGAUACUAUUGCUAAUGGUUGCCAUUGGCAAUAUAUUUAUCUGAAUUUUCCCCUCCCCUUUUUUUAUUUUUACCUUUUUAUUUUUGUGUCUUUUAUGUGAAUUGUAAUAGAGAAAGUUCGUAUACUAAAGAUUUCACGGGAAUUCUCUUUGCGUUCUAAGAAUAUUGGAACAUUUUAGAGUCAAAUUCAUACACGUACAAGCUAAUUUACACUUUAACAAAUUGUAUAAAAUGGCUCAAUUAGAGUUAAAGCUCGGAUUUGAAUUUUAAGAGUUUAAAAUAUUAGAAUAUUAAUGUUAGGUGUGUAGUAAUUGAUUUCUGAAUUUAAUUUCUGUGCGUAUUUAAUGUCCUGUCUAAUACAAAUGUAAGAUUUGGAUUAAAUUUAUUGAGUUUGACCGAACUCAUAUGUCAGCUUCUAGUUUAAUCCUGAGUUCAACAUACAAUUAUUGGUCUUCAAAUAAUGCCCUUAUUUUUUAAAAAUUUUGUUGUAAAAAAUAGGCUCGAUUUGCUUAUAUGCAAGAGAAAGGUAUACUUGUCCUUUCAAUAUAAGUUCAUAUCUACCGUAUUUUUCAUGCUGGUCCAAUAUAAAAUUUAUUUUUGUCUUCAGGUAAUUUCUCUGCACAAACUUAUUGAGGAUUUAAUGGUAUAAAAGCUCGAUAACAAACUUGUUGAUGAUUUUUAGAAUAAGUUCAGAUGUGUAAAUGGAAUUAGUUUAUGAUGACUUAAGUCCAAAAUUCUUAACCAAUAAUUUGAUUGGGUAAAUGAAAUAAGUUUAAAUAAGGUGCCAUGAGAGAAACUAGAAAUCAUGACAAUCCAAUAGAAUUCGGUUUAAGUAUUUAGAAUAUCUCAACUUUCUAAUCUUUAAUCAUUAAUCUCUAAUCAAUGUCUCUAAUCUAAUCAAUGUCUCUAAUAUAUUAAAAGUGUAAAGAAUUUUAUAAAUAUUGUUUAAAUUUUUUGUCUUUCAUUAAAAUAUUUUGUUUUAGAUAAAAUCGUCUUUUUAUCAUUUUUAAAAAUUUAUUAUUUAAUUAAAUUAAGAACUCUUAAAAUAUAUAAAAGUUGGCUCUGCAAUCAUAAAGAAGACGAUAACUUACUGGUGAAGAGGUCGCAAGGAUUUACACUUUGUUUGAAUGGCGUUUUGUCAUAGUUUCAUAAUAUACGGUACUGCGUGGUAUAAUAUCAUACUGUAUAAUAUAUUACAAUACAAUGUUUGAACGAACUGUAUCGUUCACUGUUGUUUAACAACAGAUUUAAUGAUUGGUUUGACAGUAUGGUACUGAAUCGUACAAUCAGUUUCGCCACAGCACCCGUUGCUCUAGCUAAUUAUAUUGUCCACCCUUUCCGAGUGUGAUUUCUAUGGCGGUGCCUAAGGACAUAUCGGUUGAAGCAGAUUCUUCUUUUGAUCAAUCAAAACCCCUUCCAAAGCAUACGGCUUUCUGGAUGUAGAUGAUGAUAUCUAUACAUAUGGAUCUUAUAUAUAUAUAUCGAAGAAUGAAAUACCACAAGGGUGGAAUAUAUAUGAAUUCAAAUCUGCCAUGUUAUGAUCUUCUACAUCCUGGAAGUCAUCUGGCUUUAUGUUCCCAGUAUACGGUAAACGUGAUAUUGCUACUGGAGGGCAAAGGAAAAACAAAAAACAACAAAAAAGGUCUUUAGCAUCGUGCACAACGAAUUAUUGAAAUUUGCGAACGAAUUUAGCCACAUUUCUGCUUAUAACAACACCAUCUGAAGGACGGUAGUAUUUGUUAGCGAAGAGAGAUUAGGUGGUUGAAACUUGGCUUGUUGCAGAUUUUGAUAAAUAGAAGAGAGUUUCAUGUUACCACAGUAAAAGAUAUAUAAAUGUGCAAACAAGUACUACAACAAGUACAAUACUCACAAUAUACAGCCAAUUACGAACUACUCAGAAAUCAUACAACUCCAAGAGCAUCAAGUAUUGCCAUCAUCCUCCAACUUCAGCUCAGCACUUAUGGCUCCAAACAUUGGAUGUUGAUUCUGCAAAUAAUAAUUUGAAUAACUGAUAAGGAACCACCACCAUUCAGCUCUAUAUCUAAGACUAUUUUUACAAGUCAAUUCAACAUCUAAAGACUUGUUCAAUUGAUUAUUUUGGUCAACAACAUACUUUUUCUAGCUCAUUCGUAAGGCACCCCCAUUUGGUUAACCCGGCUUUUAAACGAGUAAUUGCAAUCAACAGGAAGUAACACUGAUUUUUCUCUGUUUUCCCUUAAAAAAGGCAUCCCUUUUGGGCGCUUUCAUAAAAAAAUACGUCUUUGCGGUCCUUUUGUUUCUUUUUGCACCCUCCGUUUGUCUUCUUCUUAGUCUUCCCUCUCCAACUCCUCCGAGUACCUUACUCACAUCCAUAGAUGUAAUUUCCUUCAUGAUUCAGCAUAUCACACAUUCUGUUCUUCACUAUUUAUUUGAUCUAAUCUUUGUCCCACAUAUAGAUUCAGAUACGACAAUGUUAGAUGCAGCUAAUGUAUCAUCACCAACACUGGUAGAAAUUGAAAAUAUGCGAUGAAUGAAAGGAUCAUGUGACUUGAUAGUUUGAUUGCCAUGAGUUGCCAACUUCUAAAAGUGUAAGCCUAGCAAGAGGUAUGAGCCCUCCAGAAUAAUGUUAGCUUUUCUAAAUAGAUAGAUAAUGACAUAUAA